GACGAACGCUGGCGGCGUGCUUAACACAUGCAAGUCGAACGGGUCUGCCCUGUUUUUUGCGGGGUGGGUCAGUGGCGAACGGGUGAGUGACACGUGAGUAACCUGCCCCUCACUUCUGGAUAACCGCUUGAAAGGGUGGCUAAUACGGGGUGUUCUGGCUGUGCCGCAUGGUGUGGCUGGGAAAGAUUCACUUUUGUGGUGUUUUGGUGGGGGAUGGGCUCGCGGCCUAUCAGCUUGUUGGUGGGGUGAUGGCCUGCCAAGGCUUUGACGGGUAGCCGGCCUGAGAGGGUGGGCGGUCACACUGGGACUGAGAUACGGCCCAGACUCCUGCGGGAGGCAGCAGUGGGGGGUAUUGCACAAUGGGCGGAAGCCUGAUGCAGCGACGUCGCGUGAGGGAUGGAGGCCUUCGGGUUGUGAACCUCUUUCGCCGGUGAAGAAGGUCCUGCUCUUCGUGGUGGGGUUGACGGUAGCCGGGUUAUGAAGCGCCGGCUAACUACGUG
rnacentral:rRNA from 1 species